ACCAAGGAUUUUAGAAAAUACUAUAGCAAAUAUGAGCCUUAUGAGGUAAAUAUUACUCUAACUCACUUCUCUAAUCCUUAACUAUCGUAAAACCAAUUCUAGACUGUUUAUGAGCUCAGAAGGCAUAUCACUGGAUCUGGUCAGGCGGUGUAGUUGUGAAAGAACGCUAAAGGUACAGUGGGAAUUCAUGCAGGAGAGGAGGCACUUUUGGGAAAGUAGGGUCAACCCCACUCAAUUACUUGAAAUCUCUGUUAUUGCUCCACUAAAAUUGUGAUAUUGCCCCAGGCAUUUCAUCCAAAUACUAAUCAGAUUUUGAAAAAAAAAAAAAACCCAUUUCACCAACGAGAAUCAAUCGAUCAAUGAUACUCCCCUUGCAUGUUUGCUAUGGAGCACCAACACUCGUAGGGGUCCCUGUAUCCAUGUUCGACACGCUUGAGACAUGUGACACAUGGGAGACAUGGCAAAAGACGUAUGGGAUACACCACGUGACGUUUGACAUGUCCUUAAAUUUAAUUAAAAGUUUUUAGGCACACAUGACAAAGACAAGGCGGAGACAUGAGAGGGACAUGUAGGGGACACGGUAGGUGUAAAUAUGCAAAUUUUAAAUUUGGGGAUAAAUGGGUAUUAUUUCAAAUAUAUUGAGUUAAAAGUGUAAUAUGAUUUAUAUAUGGUGCUUGUGCAUGCAUAUGCUUCAUACUUUCUAUAUAUAACUAGAACUUACCGUUCCGUGUGUGCACGGAAUCUCGUGCUUCUUGUAAUUUGAAUAAAAAUAUCUAUAGUUUGGAUAAUACUAGAUGUAUGUAGGUCACAUUACACGCCGAAAUAUAAUGGAGGCAAAAAAUCCUAUUUUCUCAAAUAUCCUAAUCCCUCUGUCCUAAUGCGUUGAGAAGCCACGAUUUGGUUUGAAUCUCAAAACACGAAAAUAUCAGGUCAUGAACGUGCGAAUAUUCAUACACUAAGACCUAAGAAGCACACACACAACCACAAAUGCAAACAUGGAUAUGGACAUGUAAUACGACAAUUUCCAAUUAAUAAGCAUACGGACACGACCGGAGACACGGAAAAAGUGGGGAAGAAAAAUGCUUAUACUUUUAAAUUUCAAUUGUGAUUGGUACAAAUAUGGGAUCUACAAACUCCCAAACUAUUAGGAAAUAACACUAACUUAGCACAAAAAAGAUAACUAAGACUGCUUCUACAUAAUUAAGAGAUAAUCCCACUAAAAUGACAAACCACGAGGCACAAGUGACAGGUUUGGUUUACUGCAAAUUGUAACUCCAUUUAUCCCAUAUAUACCUCGUUAGUUUACACCCUUUCAUAGCCAUAAAAUCUUCCUCCUUUUAUCUCCUUUUAUUUGCUUAACAAGGUAACAUAUAAGUAGUUUUAGGCCUUUUGGCCACACAACACUCCUUUAUUUUCCUCCCUCCUUGGCUCCGUAAACAACUUUUCAUUAUCAUGAUCCAAUCCUAUUGACCCCCGGAGUUGGAUAAUAUCGAUCUUCGCUCUCCGGUGACAACUGAAUUGUUGCCACUUUCGUGUUGUCGUUCAAACUUGAUUUGUUCAUCCUCCCC